rnacentral:rRNA from 1 species
GACGAACGCUGACGGUGUGCUUUAGACAUGCAAGUCGAACGAGAAAGCCCUUCGGGGUUAGUAAAGUGGCGAACGGGUGAGUAACACGUGGGCAAUCUGCCCCUCGCAGGGGGACAACCGGAGGAAACCCCGGCUAAUACCCCGUAAGUUCAAAGGGAGGCAUCUCCCCCUUGAAGAAAGGUAGCUUCGGCCAUCCGGCGAGGGAUGAGCCCGCGGUGCAUUAGCUAGUUGGUGGGGUAACGGCCUCACCGAAGGCGACGAUGCAUAGCUGGUCUGAGGAGGAUGAUCAG